rnacentral:tRNA from 1 species
GGGAGUAUAGUUCAGGGGUAGACUGCAUACUUGGCAUGCACAAGGUCCUGGGUUCAGUCCCCAGUACUGCCA